rnacentral:lncRNA from 1 species
UGCAUCUAGAUAAGCUCUACACUGAGAUUGUGGUGGGUACUUCAAUAACCUCUCUACUGUAUCUUUGUUCAACUCUCCUAGCUUGCUUAGUUGGUUUUUGAAGUCUUCUUUGUAAGUGCACCACCAAAGCAUUUUUUUGCAUUCCUAAAUAUUAUAUGUCUUGCACCAGUUAGCCUCGAUAUGUCUAACAAAAAAUGCAUGAUGUGCUUGUGGUAGAA